rnacentral:rRNA from 1 species
AUGAAUAUUAUACCUUGUUCCAUUAAAACACUCAAGGGGUUAUACGAUAUAUCGGGUGUAGAAGUAGGCCAACACUUCUAUUGGCAAAUAGGAGGUUCAGUUGUCAUAGCUGUUCGGAAUCCACAAACCAUCCCGACCGACGGUCAGAAUUUUUUUGAAUAUGUCCUUGAGUUUAUUCGAGACUUGAGCAAAACUCAGAUUGGAGAAGAAUAUGGUCCCUGGGUUCCCUUUAUUGGAACUAUGUUCCUUUUUAUUUUUGUUUCGAAUUGGUCGGGUGCUCUUUUACCUUGGAAAAUUAUAGAGUUACCCCAUGGGGAAUUAGCAGCGCCCACGAAU